UACGAAGGGGGGCUAGCGUUGUUCGGAUUUACUGGGCGUAAAGCGCACGUAGGCGGAUUGUUAAGUCAGGGGUGAAAUCCCAGAGCUCAACUCUGGAACUGCCUUUGAUACUGGCAAUCUCGAGUCCGGAAGAGGUGAGUGGAACUCCUAGUGUAGAGGUGGAAUUCGUAGAUAUUAGGAAGAACACCAGUGGCGAAGGCGGCUCACUGGUCCGGAACUGACGCUGAGGUGCGAAAGCGUGGGGGAGCAAACAGG
rnacentral:rRNA from 1 species